CCUACGGGUGGCAGCAGUAAGGAAUAUUGGACAAUGCCCGCAAGGGUGAUCCAGCCAUGCCGCGUGCAGGAAGACGGACCUAUGGUUUGUAAACUGCUUUUGAACAAGAGAAAACCCCCUUACGUGUAAGGGGCUGAUAGUAUUGUUAGAAUAAGCAUCGGCUAACUUCGUGCCAGCAGCCGCGGUAAGACGAAGGAUGCAAGCGUUAUCCGGAUUCAUUGGGUUUAAGGCGAGCUGAGACGGCUGUGGUGAAAUCUUCUCGCUUAACGAGAAAACUGCCAUUGAUACUGUCAAGCUUGAGUACAGUUGCCGUUGGCGGAAUAUGACAUGUAGUGGUGAAAUACAUAGAGAUGUCAUAGAACACCGAUUGCGAAGGCAGCUAACGAAACUGUAACUGACGCUGAGGCUCGAAAGUGCGGGGAACAAACAGGAUUAGAUACCCUGGUAGUC
rnacentral:rRNA from 1 species